GAUUCCAGUCUUGUCUGCAAAUCUCAAUACGAUGCAACAUGUGUCUAUGAUCAAAGAAUAGGCUCUUGACAAGAGCAUUGAAUAGAUGAAUGGUUGAUUCACAAACAUAAGACUUGUCAUAGGAACUGUGUUAGUACCUAUCUUCUUUUUUUUCUGUUAAAUAAACAGAUAUUGUCUUUUAGGCACAGCAUUAAUUGAUUAGAGGAUAGUAAAGGGUGAUGAAGCAGAAACAUUUAUUGUAUUUGGACAUGGCAAUAACACAAGAGACAUUAAAGGGCCACCAAGAUGUAUGAUUGGAUAUUUGUAUAGUGUAUCCUUUUGUGUUGUGUUGUCUUAUGUGUCACCAUACAUUACAAUGUAGGUUUGUGUUUUUGGUAAAUCAUUUUUUAUGUUUUUGGUACUUAUCUGAAAUAGAAUAUCCUCUUUUAGAUGAUUGGAUAUUUGUAUAGUGUAUCCUUUUGUGUUGUGUUGUCUUAUGUGUCACCAUACAAUGUAGGUUUGUGUUUUGGUAAAUAAUUUUUUAUGUUUUUGGUACUUAUCUGAAAUAGGAUAUCCUCUUUUAGAUAUGGUUAUCUAGCAUUCUAGCCUGCAAUGGGUUCCGUUCCCUGAUCCUUUUGCUGUCAAAGUUUCUCGAUAAAAGUGGGAUAGUAAUCAUUUCUUUCUAGCGGCUGUGUUUGUGAUUGUGUUUGUGCCUGAGACUCAGGGCCUAACGUUUUCUGAAGUUGAGCAGAUUUGGAAAGAGAGGGCGUGGGGAAAGAACAGUGAUUGGGGGAGUAGCAGCGAGAGCAAUGACAUGGAUGGGUUGCUUGAGCAGGGAUCUCAGUCAUAAGGAUCUUGAGUGGCUCAUGCUCAUACGUUGUAUUGUAUCACAGAGUAAACCAAGAUUGGUUCCGGUUCCGGUUCAGGUCAGUGAUAUCACAGGAGUAAACCAAGAUGUGUUAAGAACUGUGUUUAUUGAUAAUAAAUAACGUUUAGGGUCCACUUUGGAUUCCAGUCUUGUCUGCAAAUCUCAAUACGAUGCAACAUGUGUCUAUGAUCAAAGAAUAGGCUCUUGACAAGAGCAUUGAAUAGAUGAAUGGUUGAUUCACAAACAUAAGACUUGUCAUAGGAACUGUGUUAGUACCUAUCUUCUUUUUUUUCUGUUAAAUAAACAGAUAUUGUCUUUUAGGCACAGCAUUAAUUGAUUAGAGGAUAGUAAAGGGUGAUGAAGCAGAAACAUUUAUUGUAUUUGGACAUGGCAAUAACACAAGAGACAUUAAAGGGCCACC
rnacentral:lncRNA from 1 species